rnacentral:rRNA from 1 species
GACGUAGGGGGCCAGCGUUGUCCGGAGUUACUGGGCGUAAAGGGCACGCAGGCGGUGCGGCGCGUUUCGCGUGACAGCGGAGGGCUUAACUCUCCGAGGAUGCGAAAGACGGCGGCACUUGAGGGCCAGAGAGGGACACGGAAUUCCGGGUGGAGUGGUGAAAUGCGUAGAGAUCCGGAGGAACACCGAAGGCGAAGGCAGUGUCCUGGCUGGUGACUGACGCUGAGGUGCGAAAGCUAGGGGAGCGAACGGG